CGGUCGUGUUUCCCAGUUAGCCGCGCGCGGAUCGAGUCAAGUGAACCUACCGAGAGGUGGUGCUGACUGACCGCUGCAAGGUUUCUCGACUAAACCUAAAUUAUUUCACUUUCGGAAGCGACUGACAAGCAACGUAAAGUCUUUGUUUGGAAAAAAUAGCAAGGUUUCGCCUGUGCCGGAGUCAAGGUGACGCGGUUAAAUGAAAGAAAGUAAAACGUGGAGUGAAAGCGCCUGACUGCGGCUUGAGGAUCAAAGCUAAUGCUAAGCCACCUAGCCGUCGCUACAUAAUUACACGAAAACUCGUGUCAGUUGAGCCGUCGUUUGCUUUGUCAUAACCGCUGAUAUCACAAAGUAGAUGUGCGGAGAAGCAUUUUGAGGGCGCCACGCCACGUUUGGUUGGGACAGCGGUGGUUGGGGAGGGUUGCUUGAACAUUUUAGGCCACAAGCGACUGGUAUUCACUUAGCAAGAUUAGCUACGAUAGCCCGUAUUGCCAAAGUGACACCGGCUCAACUGCUAAAGAGUUUACAAACGAAGCUGAUUCGUAUCGAACGGUUUAGUGUUGAUCAGUUUCGAUACUUUUGGUACUGUCCGACCCCCCGUGCUUAUUCGCCAUGCUGAAACAACAGCAGCCCAACUCCGGUGGGAGAAAAGCGUCAAAUGGCACUACGGGCCCCGCCGGUAUGUCUUCUCCAGUCAGUGGCGGCAACCGGACGCCGGCCGGGAGGAAUCGAACAACUGCGAAACCGUCAUUCCAGUCUUCUCCCGUUUUUGAGGGUGUGUACAACAAUGCUCGAAUGCUUCAUUUCCUCACAGCUGUUGUGGGUUCCACUUGUGAUAUAAGGGUGAAGAACGGGAGUGUGUUUGAAGGAAUCUUCAAGACGCUCAGUUCCCGGUGUGAAUUGGCCGUGGAUGCCGUGCACAAAAGGGGGGAGCAGGGCUCGAACCUGGCUCCGCCGCGGCGGGAAGACAUCACAGACACCAUGAUUUUCAGCCCUUCGGAUCUGGUUACGAUGAUAUGCAGGGACGUAGACCUCAACUAUGCCACCAGAGAUAGCUUCACCGACACCGCCAUCAGCUCCACACGGGUCAACGGUGAACACAAAGAGAAAGUGUUGCAGAGGUGGGAAGGAGGAGACAGCAACGGGGAGAGUUAUAAUCUGGAUGCGGACGCAUCCAACGGCUGGGAUGCCAACGAGAUGUUCCGCUACAAUGAAGUGAAAUAUGGAGUCACGUCAACGUAUGAUUCAAGCCUCUCUAUGUAUACCGUGCCGCUGGAGAGGGGUACCUCCGAUGUGUACCGACAGCGGGAGGCCCGCGCUGCUCGCCUGGCCAGCGAGAUCGAGUCCAGCCCCCAGUACCGCCACCGCGUCGGCCUGGAGAACGACGAGGGUAAAAGUGAGGAGGACAAAUACAGCGCUGUGGUGCGCGACGGCACCGAUCGGGACAGGAGCCACGAGAGCCUCCGCGAACGUGAAAGGGGCCGAGACAGCCCCGGGGCCAGAGAGGGCAAGUACAUUCCUUUGCCUCAACGGCAAAGGGAGAUGAACCGGGAUCGAGCCGAGCGAGGCCCCGGCGGUCCUCCGCCCCACAGUCGUCUGAGUGGGGGUUAUCGCUCCACUCCUCCGUCCUCCUCGUCCCCCAGAGCCCCGCUGCCUUCGACGGGCGGUCCCCAAACUGGUGUGUCCCCAUCAGAGCGAAGCAGCCCCCUAUCGGGCCGAGGCGGGGCCUACGUUGCCCACCACCCGCAAGGUAGCCCCAGCCCAGGUCCCGGCUCCGCUCCCGGCAGUCCAUAUACACCUGCUUCUCCUGGGGCCGCGCCCGGCUCGGCAGGCUCCCUCUCUGCCACCCCCUCCCCGACCAGCCCACCUGCCCCCCAUGGACACUCGGUCCCACAUUCCCACUCGCUACCACACUCCCUGUCAGAGGCUGGUAGACCUGUUAAUGGAGUGGCUGCCAGGACUUCUCCCAAAGCUCAAAGACCUCCACAGUCGAGCAGAACAGUCCGCACUCCAAACACACACGCUCAGUCUUGUGCCACUCGUUCACCGAAAUCGGGCUCUUCCCAGGACACACCUUACUUGGACACGUCGUCUAUCUCCUUGCCUGCUCAGAAGACGUCGGGCCCCGCCCCUCUCUUCCCCGUGGACGUGAAUGAAAUCCUAUGCGCCGCUGCAAAAGAACGCUUGGCCGAGAGCCCCGGCGGCACGGAGGAGAGCAAGAGCAGCAAAGCUCCUUCAGUUCAACAAAGGUCACAAAUCGAGGAGCUACGCAAGUUCGGCAAGGAAUUUAGGCUCCAGCCGAGUGGAGGCUCUCCCAGCUCUCCUGCUGCAGCGACUCCUCCUGUGGUCGGCGAUGUAGCCCAGGCCGGCGCCGCCAAACCCACGGCGCCGCCAGACCCCCACACCGCCGCUGAACCCAAACCGCAGCCCGCUGUCCCCAGCCCGUCGCAUCCUCAACCGUCGGGGCUCUCGUCCGAUGAACCCAAGGAAGCCGGCAUGCCGGGUGCCCCCAACUCGGUUGCCGCGGGAGUCGUUUUGGACAGACAUUCGCCGGCUGCCCCUCAACCGGCCAGGACCCCGGGAAGUGAGGAUGGCAUGUCGGAGCGCACGGAGGGUGUGGCAGACCAAGUGAAGAAAUCCACUUUAAACCCCAACGCUAAAGAAUUCAAUCCAAUCAAACCUCAGAUGCCGAUGACAAAACCCAACACGGCCCCCACCCCGCCUCGACCCACUCCUCCGAGCCCCGUGGUCAUUCAGCACCCAGGUGGCCAGGGUCCACUUUACAAUGCCCCCUACCUGUCCUAUGUGUCGCAGAUUCACUCUGUACAGACCCCACAGAUGUACCAGUACACUAUGUCUGCAGUCAGCCAGGGAAAGUACCCCAGGACCAAAGGCUCCGUAGUGGCACCGCGCUCAGACCAUGGUGCCUCGGCGCCCCCCAUGCUGCAAGCGGCGGCAACAGCCGCCGGCGCCCCCUUGGUUGCAUCCCCUUACCCUCAGUCCUACCUUCAGUACAACCCGCAGCAGUACGGCCAGCAGCAGGUCAUCCAGGCCAUGUCACCCUACCCAGGACAGCCCAUGUAUUCCAUGCUGCAAGGGGGGGCUCGGAUGAUAGGGCAAGGCGGGGGUCCCCACCCGCAAGCCCUUGGACCUCCAGGAGGCCCACAGUUCCAGACACAGGGGGACGGUCCACAGGGACCUCAGCAGGGCAUCUAUGCUGGAAUAGUGUGGACUGACUUUUGUCUCCAGCACCCCAGUCCUUCUCCCACCACUCAGGGGCCGUACAUCAACCGCAGCCAUCCAGUACCCCAACAGGCAACCAGCCCCCACCCCAGCAUGCUGCGCCCAGCCCCGGACAGAACACCCAAUCCGGCCCGCAGCCCCAGUCCUUGUACCACUCAGGUCCACUGUCCGCACCCACCCCGCCCAACAUGCCGCCUGGCCACACGUCCCCGCAGGCCUCCUACCCCAUUCAGGGCUACAGCAUCCACGGCCACCAGGGCAUUCCACCCACGUAUCCCCUGGGCCAGUUGGCGCAGGCCCAUGUACAAGGAGCCAUGUCGGGCCCCCACCAUUCGGGGAGCCACGGUCAGCCACAAUUGGUGAUGCUGCAGCCUCCCCCGCAGCAGGGGCCCGGCUCGGUGCCCCAGCACCCGCAGCACGGACCGCAGCAAGGGACACACCAACACUUUUACAUCGGGCAUCCGCAAGCAAUGCAGGUUCAGACACACCCGGCCUCCUUCCAUCCACCCGGAAACUAAAGUUCUCUCUUCAAAAAAUGUUCCUGGGAUUGAGCGCCGCCGUCCCCGCAGCCCGCCUGACGACGGUUCGACUGAACAUCCCAAAACGAGACUGACAGCAAUGCGCAGUGGCGGGGAAGGACAUAGCCUCAUAGCACCUUCUUGUUUUACUUGUCUUCUUCUGCUGCUGCUGUUAUUGUUCAUUGGCCCCAGAAGUGAAGGAGUAUUUUCUUUUUUCCUUUUUAAUGCAAACGGAUGACGAUGGCACGACGGCGAGCCUGCGUGCAAAUCCUGUGCUCCUCUUCAACUUCUUCCCUUUGUUCAGAGGCAGGAGGCACCUUGCUCGCUUGGACCAGUCAGAGGACAAAGGGUUUCAUCUUCCAGCAAAGUGUUUUUGGUCUGGUCGGGUGUGUUGCCUUUUUGACACACACACACACACGCACGCGUUCAGGAUGAAUACUUACUGCAUGACAUGGGGCAUUUGAAGAGAGGAUGGGAUUUUUAACAAAUAGUUUCACCCCGGUUGUCUAAAAAAAAAUAAUAGAUCAACCUCUGACCGUUAUUCUCUUCUUUAGGUAAAAAAAAAAAAUUAAAAAGGACAAGACAAAAAAUUCAAAAACAAAAUGACCAAAAAAUAAAAGUUUUCAACUUAA